GGGCCGACAUAGCUGUUGUUUUGUGCGGUAAAGCGAAUGAUUAGCGUAUUUGGGGGCAUUUAGCCUUCAGACGAUUCUCAAACUUUCAAUGCGCAAGGGUGUUGCUGCUUAAUUGAGCUUCACCGGUAAAAACGUCGGCCCUGUGGGCCACUUUUGGUAAGCAGAACUGGCGAUACGGGAUGAACCGUAAGCACGGUUAAGGCGCCGGACUACUCGCUUAUAGAUCCCACAAAAGGUGUUGAUUCAUCGAGACAGCAGGACGGUGGCCAUGGAAGUCGGAAUCCGCCAAGGAGUGUGUAACAACUCACCUGCCGAAUGAAUUAGCCCUGAAAAUGGAUGGCGCUUAAGCGGGUGGCCGACACCGUGCCGUCUGAAUGAUAAAUUUCAGAUGAGUAGGAGGACGUGGUGAUCGUGACGAAGUAUGCGUGCGAACGCGUAUCGAACGAUCACUAGUGCAGAUCUUGGUGGUAGUAGCAAAUAUUCAAGCGAGAUCCUUGAAGGGCGAAGCGGGGAAGGGUUCCACGCUAACAUUGAUUGGGCGUGGGUGAGUCGUUCCUAAGCCGAGUGGCAAUUGCUAAGUAACGGCGAAAGGGAAGCGGGUUUACAUUCCCGCACACGGAUGUGGAGGCGGUGACGCUUUAUUGGGGCGAACACGCUGGCGAUGGCGCUGGGCAGAGUUGUCUUUUCUGUUUGACCGUUUGCGCAUGCAGUGUGGAGUCCGCUUGUCGGGAGAAACACGCAUGCGCGGGCAUAGCGCCGGGGCUUAUCCGGCGUCCAGCUCGCCAUCGACGGCCCUUGAAACUUUGCCUGCUGGUUUUAGAAUCCACGCCGUGGCGUACCGAUCACCGCAUCAGGUCCCCGAGGUGAACAGCCUCUGCUCAAUAUGAAAAAUGCAGGUAAGGGAAGUCGGCAAAUUAGACCCGUAACUUUGGGAAAAGGGUUGGCUCUAGUGCUGCGUGGGAGUGGUUGUCAAGUUGUGGCGCUCUCGAAGGUACUGAUUUGCGCGGCGCUUCGGUGUUGUUCGGUCGGCGCCAUUGAUUGUGCUGCUCUUGACGACGCCCACAGCAUGCAGCAGACUAGAACUGCAACGGGCAAAGGGAAUCCGACUGUUUAAUUAAAACAAAGCAUUGCGAGGGCCGUGGCCGG
rnacentral:rRNA from 1 species